rnacentral:misc_RNA from 1 species
GUACAUUAGUGCUUGCGCACGACAGUAAUUUCAUUACAUUCGAGUUUAUGUAAAAUCCUCUGCCGGCCGAAGCUAGCAAGAGGCCAAAGGUGCACAGGGUAUUGGAUGAAAGUCACCGACGUGCACUUGCCGAAGCCGGCCAGCACAGAAGGUAACAAUUCGCAAUCAAUAAUGAUCCUUCCGCAGGUUCACCUACGGAAA